GCCAUCUUGCAGAAAUGUUUUCUCAAACGUCAGCCUUUCAUAACAGAAACUUAUGAGUCAGUUGCUCAGCCUUGUGGACAAGUGUGGAGGCCAGUGAGCCUACGGAACAAGGAGAGCCCACUGGUGGGACAGUCCCUAAGAACAGAGAUCCUCCCAGACCCUCAGGCUUUUCAAACCAGCCCUGCUACUCUAUGUUGUCUCUUCCGAAGCCACCUUUUUUGGUACCUGAUCAUCUUCUGGGUGGUCUUAGACUGUACGAAGAAAACAAAACUUGGAACAUUGCAGCAACCAUUGUUUCAAGAUAUCUGAUAUGGCACUGAAGACUUCCCUUCAGGGAUUACCAGUUUCAUGGCAAUGCAGAAUUAUACAAUGGUCCCUUGUGGAGACGCUUAGGCAGCUCUCUGCCAGCACCCAUGGGUGCACAGGAUCUCACCUUCGCAGGCAGUCGUGAGCAGCCACUCACACACACAGUCUAAGCAUGAACUGGAGACAAACAGGCCUAGAGGAUACACUUUCUUGAACUACACACCUGUUCCUUCACACUCAGACAAUAUCCUUUUGAACACAUGAACUCCAGCAGGAGUCAAAGAGAAGCCCAAGAAAUGUUUUCAGUGGAAGAGCUUUCACAAAUUCACAGUUUCGUACUCAGUCUCGGUCCUUACCAGCUGUGAUUUCAGGAGCCGGAGAAGAGUGUGACAGCAGGAGGGCAAAGCUGCUGACCGUCCACUACAUUUUCCACUACAACCAGAGUGAAAGACAAGAGAUGAAACAAGCUUUGCUUCACUAAGUAUGUAGCUCAAAUGAAAACUCUACCCGGACACUGAAAGCAACAGUAUCCAAUGCUGAGUGAAACUUCAAAGGUUUUCUUGUGCAGCCUGACCGCUUUUCUAUUGUGCAGCCAAAUUGUAAGUAUCUCUUGAGCAUAGAGAAUAGGCUGGAAAUUGCAUGCAUACAAUCCUACCUCUAUAAGGCUUCUACUUUCUGUUGCAAAUGGAAUCAUCACAGUAAUAUCCUUGUGUGUCUGGGUUUCCAAUUUCAGUCAUAGCUACUUUUAAGAAAAAGAUAAGUACAAUCGAUUUAUUUUUUAACUCCUCUCUCUCCCACUACCUUCCCCUAAAAGAAUUUGCUUGGAGCUUUGUGAAAAUCAUUAUGCUUUUACGUUUGUUCUAGUCAUUCAUGCCUAGGGAAUAGAAUACUUCAUCAUAGGCCAGACCCCAAUUUUGCUAGAGUUCAUGCUCUGUCUGCCGUAACUGCCAAUGACUGGGUCUACAUGCUCUUCAUUGGCUCUUCACAGAAGUCAGAGUACUCUCUUCCUGCCUUUUGAAGGCUUUUCAGGCACCAUGAACAUUAGCCUUGUGACAUCUGAGCCUUAUGAUAUGUUAUUUUAGCAAAUGUUUUUCAAGGGCUUUAAAUUCCUCGGGGCUGUACAUCCCAUCUGUAGUCACACAUCUUCUUUUUACAUCCUGACCCCUGUUCCCACUUCUGCCUGCUGGUUGCCACUUCCUGCAGCAACUGGAAGUUACCGGCCCCUCUUUUCGUUCCGAUCCAACAAGCUGAUACCAUUAAAUAACCUCAACAUUUCAGGCCAUGCAAGCUGGAUUAGCACAAGCCUUGUGCCAAGUGCCAUGCACAUUGGUGUUACUGUGGGCAGAGCUGAUCCUGCAGCCUGGCCAGCUGCUCUGAGAAUGGGAGGAGAAGGGGGGAUCGAGGGUCUGCUGCCCCCCUUGAGCACAGCCUCCGGCUCUUCCCAUGCUGUCUGGGGAGGGGUGCCUGGCUUCAAAUAUUAGCCUCUGUUCAAACACCUAGCAUAUGUGGACUUGUGUAGGGGAGGGCUAAAUAAUGAACAAAUUAUGCCUUCUCCAGUUUCAUUUCUACUAAUAUCCUUUCACAUGGAAACUAAAGAGGUCUGCAGACUGUAGUCAAAGAGCAGCAAAGCCUGCCCUUUUAUGAGUGAAAAUCCCUCCCUGAGCAGUCCUCUCAGAUUUCCUUGUCUACAUCCUCUCUGUAACUUUUCAGUGCCCAGCCUCACCACUGCAAUUUUUCAUACCCUACAGAGCAAUUAUAACCUGUAAUAAUUGCAGCUAUGGGAGUAAUUUUUCCCUAAGGCAAACAGAAAGCAAGGAUGGCAGUUCACCAGCAAUCUGUGUGAAAGAAUUCUGUAUACUGUGCAAAACACAUUAGUAAGUGCAGUGUUACAGCUGGGAGAGAAAUUUCCUUUAUGUUGGAGAACACUUUCAUCCUCACAAAAUGUAUAUAAUGCAAGAUGAUUUAUAUCUGUGGUAGAUCCAAAUAUUUGCACAGACAGACAUAUGCAUAUUCAUAUCCCUAGAAAUAUUCCUAGUGCACCUGCCAUCAAAGCAGUCCUGGGUAAAUAUAAUGCACAAAAGUUCCGCGGGGGCUGACUGUGGUAUCUCAACUCUCUUCAUAACUGAGUGCACACAGUUUUGGGGGUGUUCUCCCCAGACAGCUCAAUUUCAACAUAGUAAUUCUUUGUGUACACAAGAGAUGUUAUUUUAUACAAACUGAAUGUUGAUCGUGUUCAUGUAGACCCUGCUAACUCUGUAGAGAAGCAGUGGUGACAGGAAAUGCAAGCAAAAACAUGUCCAUCCACAGAGUUCAAGGGAUUCUAGAUCAUUUUUAUACAGAGUCAGAGUCAUGGUCAUUCUCUCUAAGGAUGUCUUUGCCAACUGUUUUUAGAGUUACUCUUCUGUUUCAGUCCUUAAAUCUAAAAUACUUGGUAAAGCCUAUAAAAAGACAAAAUAAAAUAUGUCCUUCACAAUACAGAUGAAAAUGAAGCUGUGCCUAGCUGGACAAGUUUUAUGUUCUGCAAAUGCUGCAUGGACACAUACAGCAGUCAUUUGAGACAAUAUAAAGGUACCUUUUUUCCAUUGGAACUAUAGAGCAAAUUGGGUUUCUACUCAUUUAUAUCCUGAAAAUCUGGGCCACUUAUUUCAUGCUGUAUUUUGUUGUAUUAAGCAUAAUAUUGCCCUGAAAUGUGCAGUUAAUUACACAACUUCCUGUUUUAAAUUCCAUGGAAACUCUUCUCCUGCCAAAAGUGGAUUGCUUUUAAUAGGAUUCUGUCCCUUUUUUGGCAAUAUGUGGUUAUGUAUACUCUGUUCCCAUCCUUAUUAUUCAUGUUCUGUAUCAAGAGACUACAAGCUCAUGAGGUGAAAUUCAGCCUGUGAUAAAGCUAGUGGCAUGCCUCCCAGGCAUUCAGGAAGGCUGUGUUCCCACCAGGGUUGUUGAAUUCCCACCACACCCUUCUACUAAUGAAGCAGCUCCACUAAUUGCACUGGAAGGGAAAUCCUAAAACAGUCACAUCGUUUUUCCUCAAAGCAAAUAGGCCUGGCUACAUCCUUUGAAUCUCACAGUUUCUCCUGCACUUUUAACCUCUGGCUGUAAUCCUGCAGCAUCCAUCAGGAGAUGCAUCCUCCAGGACAUCCCUGGAGCAGCCAGCAACCCCCUACCAACCACUGCCUAAACUCAUAGCAGGUGAAGAGAAUACCUCCUGUGGAAUAUGUGAAGGAUGCAGGUCUGACAGCACAAACUUCACUGUCACCUUUCUUUAUGUUGUUCCUGUCUGCUCUUAUGCUGGAUAGUUCCCUUUUGACAUGGGGGUAAUGCCUGUGGGUAUAAUCCGACAGGCUUGCAGAUUGAAAAUAUGCCUCCAAUAAGUUUUCUAGGAGGUUCAUACUCGUUGUUUUCCUGAUUGUUUUAAUGUGCUUUUGUUGCGAAUUUCAAGUGCUUUUGUAGCAAGCACAGUAAAUACCAUGCAUAAGACUAAAUGCAGACUGAUUUCUUUGUGAAAUGUAACAAAUACAAAUGUAGAAAGAAAAGCACAUGUAUGCAUAUAUACACAGACACAUAUUUAUAUGGUACAAGAUAGCAUAUUCUAUUUAUCAUUGAAACUUAAUACAAUAAGAUUGUAAGUGUAGAUUAUUUACACACAUAAACAUACUGUGUGCUAAGAAACUUUUGCUUUCACACCCUGGCCUUUCCUCUGGAAAAUAUUGUUUGAAGAAUUCCCUACCAGGGUAAAACAUCUGCUUCAAAGCUUUUUCACAAGCAGAUUUUUGUAGCUUUAUGAUGUUAAGCAUGAAAAUUAAUGAGACCUUCUUUUUAAGGGUUUUUUUCCCAGAAAACAAAAGGAAAAUGGAAGGGGUAUGCUACAUCUUUUCAAUUAAAACAUUUUAUACUCUCUAUUCUAAAUACUGUAUCUGAUAUGGGUUCUUCUCCUAUCUAACUGAUUUUGUUAGUCAAACAGCAAGGUAUCUUUUUCAUGACAGAAUUGAUAUCUGAGCUGUCAAGACCCCUUAGUGAAAGGCAUAUGCUGUGGAACCUUAAGAUAUGAAAUAAAAUUAAGAUCAGAAAAGAAAUGUUUAGCAGUCAAUAUAGCAAUUAGAAAGAGCGAGCUUGAGAAAUGUCACAGAAACACCAGAACACCAGAAGUUGUGGUGUCCUAAGAAGUAGUUGUUUCAGAGAUGACACCAGAAAAUGUGGCCCUGACUUCAGGCAUUUAUUUGCCAAGUUUUGGGCCAAUAACAUACUGUAAGUAUUGUUCAUGGACCACCGUGCCUCUUCGUUACAACACUUGAGCUAAAAAACACGCGGAAUUGAAGAGAAAACACUACUGAGGAUCUUGAGAGCUGCUCAACGCCCACACUACACAGUGUGAGAACUGCUGCUCUAAGGCAACCAAACACCCAGCUGCCACAGUAUUUGAUUCACCUGCAACCUGAAUACUUUGAAAAGGAAAAUGAAGCCUCAGAAGUCCUGUUUUCCCUGGAGACCCACAGUUAUUUUUGCCUACUAUGGGCCGUGGGGAGUUAUGCGGGAGUGUUAGAGACAACCAUAACAAACCCACAGUGCCUAUUUCUCCUACUCCAAGCACAACAGUUCUAAAGCAGCAUUUGAGAGAGGGAAAGCCACCAUCCCACCACGAUUCGUGUGGGAAAAGAGGUGUCAAGGGCUGGUCACUACUAGACAAAGUUUGAUGUGUUUACAUUGAAGCCUUCAACAUACUGCUCAUUCCAGUAUAAACAGAUCAAAGUAAAGGGUAUUAUUAUAUAUUUGUGUAGCCCCAACAGUGUGCUAGGCACUUAAUUUGCCAUCUGAGGCUAUUCCCUUUGCUGUGAUAUUUCAGGCAGGAUUUCCCAUUCAUCACACUGAUCCCGCUCUGGGGCUGGAGCACAAGGUCAGCUAUCAUUGGCUCUGUCAUGCUCAAAGGCUGCAGUGCUCUGGUAAUUAAGACUGUUAGAUGGGAGGGCCUCUUUUCCUGCUAUUUGAUGUGGAGUAGGUGCAGAUGAAAGAUUUAUGGUUUUAAUUCAAAUACAGGACUUGCCUUUGACAACUUAAUUGUGUUUGCAGAGAAGUUCUGGACCCUUUCUCUUGCCAAGUCAUUACAGAAAGGCCUCACAUCUUGGAUCUACCAGGAAGCUGUUUGGAUUAAAGAAAUAACCAAAGGGACUCUGCAUUAGGGCUGAUAGAAGCAAUAAACAUUUUCUUGUCCUUCUGCUUGUAGUAAAUAUGUUGCUUAAGAUAGUACAUUUCAUACUUGGAGACCAAAGUAGUUUUCCUAACUUUUUUUCCUGUGUCUAUAUUCAUCUCUCUAAUCAGAAUUUUCUUCUUAUACCAGCCUUAUUAAAAUCAGUUACUAGUAAAGAGAACAGCUAAACUGAACAGAAUUCUUAAACUAGCUAAUUGUUCCUGUAAUAAAAAUGUGAUUAUAAAUUAAAAAGUAUGGUUUGAUUCUAUGAGCAAAAUUGCUUCUACAGUUGUUUUGUUACAUAAAGUCAUUGCAACACUCCACAUUUAUCAAAAAGAUUUUCC